CUUACGAAAAUGUAUCCUCUUGACUGAGUGUGUGUGGGCGAGGGAGGUGGUGGUGGUGGUGGUGGUUGUGGUGGUGGUGGUGAUGGUGUUGGUGGUAGUGGUAGUGGUGGUGGUGGUGGUGGUGGCGGUGGCGGUGGCGUGGUGAUGGUAGUGGAAGCGGUGGGUGGGGCAGGGGUGGCCUAGGUGGCUGAUAAUGAGGGCAGGGUGGAUGGUGGAGCUGGUGGAUGGUGGAGGCAGGUACGUGGGUGGUGGUGGUAAUAGAAGAACCACCCUCAUUUUAGAGUGAAAGACGUUGAUACAUUAAAUUCAAUUAUAGCAAUUUUUCUUCCAUUUCAGGUAGGAAAUUACUUAAAUUUCACGUUCUAGUUCAUAGCAAUACCAAACUAAAAAUUAUACGUAUUAUUAAGACCAAUUCUUGUUAAGUUUUACUACGGGAAGGAAAUAUUUGUGACAUUUUUCUACCAAUAAUGGCAUUGAACUUUGUUCAGCACGAAAUAAAAGUGGCAGACAGGAAUUGCUCCUUAAAGUGCAGGGUUCUCGGGACGUCGGUAUACAGCCUUAGGUGUCCCGUCACAAGGAUCCUAAAUCCGUGCUGCAAGUACACUGCCUCAGGCCGGCUGCUUCUUCAUUGAUCCAUCUUUAUAUGGUCAAAAUAAAAUUUACCUCGAUAGUAUAAUCACCGAUAUUUCUCAGCCGGUCUGGCUGAGUUCUCCAAUAUAUAACAACAACUCAGAGCCACAGGCUUCACAGUGGUGCAGCAGUCCUGCAGGCUCUAUCUCUCUCUCUCUCCCUCUCUCUCCUCACGCUGACGCUAAGUAUGACGAGUGGAGGAUAGCAACACAUAAAUACUGUUGCUUAACCUUAUCUUGAUUUUUAUUCCAGUCUUAAAUAAAAGGGAAGAAUUUUUAAAGUGUUGCAGAGCACUUCUCUCCUCUUCAGAGCGGGGAGGGCGAUGGAGGAGGCACGCUACAGGAGCAUGGGCGUGUGGCUGGUGCUGGGCAUGGGUUUGUUGGCCGGCUGCAUGACGCUCGCCGAGUCCACGUCACUCCCAAAUAGUAAACUCUGAAUUGCAUUGUUUCCAAAAGUACCGGGCAAUGCUGCAUGGUGUAAACUUGUAAAGGAUUAGAAGAGUCAGCAUUUCUCCAUAAUGGUCAUAGCCUGAGAUAUCAAAAACAUGCAAGUAUACUCAUAACGACCCAGAUUCACUCUGAUGUGCGGAACGGUGAAUCAUGUCUUAAUCAGUUCUAUUUAGUGGCCGCCACCCAGUGUAUCACGGGCAGCAAUGGGACAGCGGUGCAUGAUGCCUGUCUUCCCGUAGCGGCAGCCGGGCGGGCGGUAGCCGCUGUCUUGACGAGUCUGGGUGUGCGCCAAGUGGUUGUCCUCUCCCCCACUCACCCCCGCCGCCGCCGCUACCUCCAUCCUCAUAUCGGCCCGCCAAGCAGCUCUCGCGCCACAGGUCAGGAACAGCCAGACCCUGUUAUUCCGUCCCGUAGUGUGCAUCGCCAUAUGUUUCCAUGGCUCCUGAUCGCCGUGCAAACAGUCUAUGUUGCGGUCACUGUUGCACCUCACUUCCAUUACCUCAGCCUGCAAUCACCAGUAUACAAUGCACACAUACACCAACUCUCACCCCCUUUUCCCACCACAUGACUGUCCUCUAUAUCAAGAUCUUGUUCUGCAUUCUUUUUUUUAUGGCGGCCAAGACCUUCCUUCAGACUCAGUAUAUCCACAUUUUUCAGACACAUCAACACCUCCAUUGAUGUUGCCAACACCAUUUUACCGCCAUUGUCUCACCAAUCAGUACACUUAGUAUAUUAAGCCUCACUACAAGGCGUGUGCUUAAAUCUUCACCCGGCAUUACCGCCACACGCCACAAACACACUCCGAUGCUACAUGUCACUGAUAAUCUAGCAAAAUAAAUAAUUUUUCUCUAAACAAAAGAAUGACAGUAAAGAAGCGUAAGCUUAAGUACUCCUAUAUACAGCAGUAGCGAGAGUUCCCUUUCUUCUCUACGCCAUGCGGGCAGAGGACAGAAUGGAGGAGGUGGUGCGGUCGCUGUGUGAGGGAGGUAUCCAGGUCAGCGUGUCUGCCCUGCCGUCCUCCAUCGUCGGUUCCUCCGCCACCCCGCCAGUCGUAUCGCAUCGGGGAGGUGCCAGCGCACACCCAAGCCGUCCUCCCACGGUAGCCUCCCCCAAAGGAGGUACGUGUAAACAAUGUCCCUUUUCCAUUUUGGCACCGAUCGCCGCGCCUCCCACCAGUCAGGAGAGAACGAGGGGCCAUUUUUACCAUCGUCUUCACACUUUGUGCUACACAUUCCUCUUCGAAAACCUGGAUGAGCAACAAACAAAUAAAUACGCAGUCAGAUAAAUUAGUGUUUAUAUUGAAUAUGAAUUACACAUUUUGAAUAUUACAGCACCUUCUCACUGAAUAAUUCACAAAAAACUGAGUAUGCUGAUAUAUUGUUUGAGUUGACUUGUAAAGUAUUAAUAUCGGCCGAAUGGAUAAUAGAGUGGUGAGUAAUUAAUACCUAGUCUGACAUGAACACAAACCUCAACAAAGCUCCGCCGGCAGGAGCGUUCUCAGCGACCCGACCCCCCGCCAAGGAGGAGGGGAAGACUCAGAUUCCAGCCAGAGACGGAGUGGGCGAGACGGCGAGCAAUGAUACAAAGACUUCGAGGGACGAGGCAGCCAGGAUCCUGGAGGAUUUCUUGCUGGACACGCGGGGCGCGGUCAGCACAACCUCCAGCGUGCUGGUGGCAGGGGAGGCGAGCUGGGUGAACCAGGUGGCAGUCUGGGUGCGUAAGUGUACCAAAGUGUACCGUGGGUUGAGGUGAACCAAGUGCGGCGAGCAAAGCUUGAACUUGUUUGUAAAUUUUCUAGCCAUCGGAUCGUGACUAGGGUUUUAGGCAGGAGUGUGCUUGGCUGGAAAUAGCGUCUUAUCAGGGGCUCAGCUGGAGUUUGCUGGCCACCUCCUUGGCAGCCUAACGCUGGGCUUGGCUUGACUUCUUUACUGAUGACUCACUCAAAUCUCUUUCAGCUCCCUGAGUUAUCUGACUCGCAUCCUACGCUGAUAAAAUUCUUCUGCAUUACAGUAAAUGAUAUAAAGGAAGUGAUAAUCACGAAAAGGAGGAGGAGGAGGCGGCGGCGGCGGCGGUGGAGGAGGAGGAGGAAGAGAAUGAGGAGGAGAAAGAUAAAGACGAUGAGGAUGGUAACACUGAUGGUGAUAAUGAAGGCAAUGACAAGUAAUGGUUUUCUUGUCCCUUUUUCAGAUAAACCAGAAAACAUUACUGAGACAGGUGAGGCCUUUUAUUAUGUCAUAUUUUGUUGUGAGCACAAUGAGCAUCCCAUCUAUUUUUUGUCUACUUUGAAAAUCUAACAUUGCCCACUAACCUAAAGCUGAACACGAGAGUAACUUCCUCCAGUCGAUAUGAAUGCGAUGUUUUAAAAGUAUAUACAUAAAUAUUUUACCCAACAGGACCAAAUUUUGGUGCUUUACCCCACACACGGUCGAAUAGAGAAGCACUCCUUGGUGCCUCACAUACGCCUGGCAGCCAAAGUGAUCAUACUGGAGCGAAAUGAAUUCCAGCCUGGUGAAGGAAGUGUUGGUGGCGGCGGUGCAGAGCGUGACAAUACGUCGCUGUCUUCCUGCUUAUUCUUCAUUGAGCAGGCGACAUUAGUGAGCGGCGGCGUCUACACCUUGAGGACGGCUGGAUGCUGGCUCAGAGACCACACGCUGCUCCUUCGUCAGCCUUUGGUUCCGGAAAUUCGGAGCUUGCGUGGCGCUCCGGUAGCCGUCGUCAUCAUCAAGAAUUUCUUCGAGGCAAUACGCGUGGGGCCCCGCAGAGCCUACCUGGUUGGCUAUCUUGGGAAACUAAUCAACGCUCUGGCGGAAACCCUAGACUUUCAUUACAACAUCCUCGAGGGCACCAGCUUUGGCGUCAAGUCCUCCAACGGCUCAUACGACGGCGUCAUUGGUCACAUCGAACGGGAGGUGAGUGAAUAGCAGGUAGCGGAGGCCUCAGGUGCCAACCAUCAGAGCGACAGGGUACAAUAUUCUGAGACACUUUUGCACCGCACCUCAACUAAAAGGCUUUAAUUGAAAUUGCACUUUUAA